rnacentral:rRNA from 1 species
CGCAACCCCUCGCAUUCAGUUGCCAUCGGGUAAGUGCCGGGCACUCUGGAAGGACUGCCAUCGACAAGAUGGAGGAAGGUGGGGAUGACGUCAAGUCAUCAUGGCCCUUAUGUCCAGGGCGACACACGUGCUACAAUGGCCGGCACAACGGGAAGCGAGUUCGCGAGGACGAGCGGAUCCCUCAAAGCCGGUCGCAGUUCGGAUUGAAGUCUGCAACUCGACUUCAUGAAGCUGGAAUCGCUAGUAAUCGUGGAUCAGCCAAGCCGCGGUGAAUACGUUCCCGGGCCUU